rnacentral:rRNA from 1 species
UACGGGGGGAGCAAGCGUUGUUCGGAUUUACUGGGCGUAAAGGGCGCGUAGGCGGUCAGCACAAGUCAGUUGUGAAAUCUCCGGGCUUAACUCGGAAAGGUCAACUGAUACUGUGCGACUAGAGUGCAGAAGGGGCAACUGGAAUUCUCGGUGUAGCGGUGAAAUGCGCAGAUAUCGGGAAGAACACCCGUGGCGAAGGCGGCUCUCUGGGACGGUACUGACGCUGAGACGCGAAAGCGUGGGGAG